rnacentral:lncRNA from 1 species
AAGAAUCAAUGAAUCUUUCAACACAUUCAUGUUUUGAACAACUUUCACCUCUCUGGGCAAGAAUAUCCUGAAAGGUGAAAUCAUUUUAGUGUGAAUCCUAUGUCUGGUUUGAUUCUUAACAUGUAUAUGUUUAGUUAUUUAUGCCUUUAGUUAUUUUUAUUCAUCUUUUGAUGUGUGUUGAUUUUUGUACUUCCAUCACUACAGGCAGGCUGGUACCCGUUUCAUCUUAGCUGUGGGUAUAGCAACAGCUUCCCCAUUCUCCACCCCAGGGCACCUACCCCUCAGAAAUAGCAACAGAGAUUUCAACCCCUCUUCAUCUUGAAACAUGAAGUCAAACUUGAACUUCACAGAUGUAUUUCUCAAGUAUGUGGAAGUUAGAAUUACCCCAGAUGAAAUUACUUGAGACCCCGCCCCUUGGACUUGAAGGAUCUCUUCGAGGGGAUGCUUAGACUUCUGCUCAUUAUUUACAACCUUGGAAAUUGUUGGUCUCAGCUAGCGUGCCAAGGGACAACAGAGCCAGAGCCUCGGAUCCUUACAGGUGUGAACCCAAACUAUCGAACAGUCUGCAAAAUUAACGUUCAUGACGACUCUUUCUGAUGAGCUGCAUGGGCCGUGGGAUGUGGUAGGAGAGGAAGAAUGUUUUGCAGAAGUGACAGCAUCACCACACAUCUGGGACAAAGGGAGAGAGGAUGCUCACUGCUAAAGAGAACUUUUUCUUCUCUGCACAGAACCAAGUAAGUAAAUCAACUCGUUCAGGCGAUUGGGGCCAUGGAGCUAAAGGGAACAGUGAGGUCAUUUGUAUGGAAUGUGGUCACUUCAGUCGUUCUGGGAAAACUCUACUAUUUAAAAAUGUGCCACAAGUGCUCAAAUCUGGGGACAGAUACAGCUUCAGAUACUGCCUGCAUAUCGGUUAGGGUGACUAUAGCUCUUGACAGCUAUUACCCAAAUGUCAAUGGCCUAAUAUAAUAGGUUUAUAUUUCACCUAUGGGACAGUCGACUUGGGGUGUUUCUCGUUGGCAGAUAAAGUUACUCCAAAGGAUAGUUUAGGGGGAUUUUUCAUCAUUAAUCUCCACCAUUAGUUAAGACGUCCAUCUUCUGCACCCAGAAGGACACUGGGGGUGAUAACACACACUGAAAAGAAACCUGGUUUGGGUGUGAUAUGCAACAUUUCCAUGAACAUUGCUUUGGGAAGAGUGGGAAUGUAAGCACAAGGGAGAUCAGAUGAAAAAUGCAAUCCCUGGCCUGAUGGCUGUCUCCUAGUGGCAGGUCCAUGCAAUAGCAAGAAUUGGAAGACAGCUAGUUGCCACUACUGCAUCCUGCUCCUGGAGAAUCCAAGUCUGUGUCCAUCCUAUCUCCUACAGUUUAGAGCACUCCCAUCCAGCUCCAGGUCACACAUCCAUCUCUAAAUCCUGGAGUCUGAGCCACCGAGUCUGGGUAGGGUUCGCCAUGUCUCCAUGCCCAGAGAACCAGAAGCCUUGGGCCUAAUCUCUCUUCCAUCAACCCAGUGAAUGUCAUGGAGUAGAGGCUGGGUGCCUUUAAUAUCCCUGAGUCUGUUCUGUGAGAGAAAUCCUCUUGUGUACCUCGCCCCUGCUCCCAGACUCUGCAAUCUGGAAGAUCCCCCAACCCUCACCUUUCAGUGGCACAUCUAUGGGGCAGUGUCCCAAUCUUGAUUGCCUCUUUAUGGUGUAAAUGACAAGUGUUGACAGUAGUUUAAAAUUCCUACAUUAUUUAAAGGCUAGGAUUAUAGAUUCUUUGGUAUGGUAGUACGACUUUGUCAGAAUCUCAGCAAACUUCUCAUCUACUUGGAUUGUGCGGAGAAGAUGUUCAUGAAGUCGCCCAG